UUAGCUUUCUGUUAGUCACAGAAGACUUGGAAUAAAGCACAUGGGUCAUAUGAAGCACUUUUAUGAUACUUUUAUGAUGUGUUUUUUUUUUUCAUUUCAUUUUUUUACAUUUUUGUACCUUUGCUCACCAUUGACUUUUGGAAGAAAGCAAGUCUCUAAGAAAGACAUGGUGGUGAGUAAAUAAUGAUAUCAUUUUUAUUCCUGGAUGAAACUCUUUCACUUUAAGUGCAGCAGCUUUUGAGUUUUUAAGUUCCCAACUUAAAAGGCAUCAGUUUCAUCCCAUUUUUUAAAUUUAAGCCAAUAUUACAAAGCAUGUAAGCUACCAUUCAAAAAAAUGUUUAAAGAAAUGAAUACUUUUAUUUAGCAAGGAUGCACAGUAUUAUUAUUUUAAAUGUAUUUUUGAUCAAAUGAAUUCAAAAUAAUAAUUUCAAAACAAGUAGAUAAAUAAAUCUUACUGACCCCAAACUUUUGAACAGUGGUGUUUAUCCUCUGUCACCCUCAAGAUAACCUACUUGUAAUAGCCCAUUUUGUUCUGCAGACAUAAUUCAAAUGGGACAAAAAUAGGACAAGUGGCUGUUGCACAUUUUAUUUGGGCGCUGUUCAUCUUUAUGGCUGCUUGAAGACUUAGUUGGCUUGAGUGUGUGAAGCCUGGGCACAGCUCCUGUGUCUGGGAGGUUCUCUCUCUGGGAGGGCACUUGGAGAAAGCUUGCACUGUCUGGGAUCUUUAGCAGGGGUACAGAGACUGUGGUGCAGUGUGUAUCUCCAGCAGUCAUGGUGUGCUGUGUCUGUAUGGGAUGCUACCUUGUACUAGAUCUGCUUCUGCUUGGAUUGCAUGUGGAGGGCAAAUGGAAAGCCAUGAACUACAGUGUCUCUUCUAAGAAUGAAGAUCUUCAUAGUAAAUGGGAAAUUUCAUCUUAUCUGAACAGAACUUCAAAGCAUUCACUCCGUGGUUUUGUAGUGGUGGACGAGUCUGACCUUCUCACGUCUCCCGCCAUCAGCACACAUAGCAGGUAUAAGGACACCAGGGACAAAAAGAUCCAGUCCACCACCUCUCAAAAACUGAAAGCAGAUUUUGGUGCAGGCCAUCUUGAGCGGCUCCCUUUGAAGCCCUCUAGGGACAUUGCUGACCUGGAUUCUAUUUUGAAUGUGAAGACAUCAGCUGGUCAAAAAGAUCUUGUCCAGCCUACAGUCCAUCCUGAGUUAAACCAGCUGACUGAAGAAGGUUUCUUACUUCCUUCGAAGAGCUUCGAUUUAGUUAAAAAGCCUUUGGUCAGUGUUCACUCAAAAAAAGGAUAUGAAUCACUUGUAGGAAAUGGACAAGCUGACUACAAGCACUCAAGCAAGAAAAGAGUUGCAUUUAAACAUGGUGAUGUUAUAUUAGGCAUGGAUGGAAGGAGAUACCAGCUCCUCAGUGGACCUCCAGGGCCUGUUGGACCACCAGGCAAAAGAGGGUGUGCAGGGAAAAGGGGCUAUAUUGGAUACAAGGGUGUUAAGGUGAGGAAUUUACAUUUCAUACAACUCAUUACAUUGUUGUGCUCGGAUGGCAUCCCACUGAUUUGUAUCUGUGUGUCCUACAAGGGUUCUCAAGGAGUCCGAGGAGCAGAUGGGCCAAGGGGCAUAUCAGGACCUCCAGGUCCACCAGGACUCCCAGUCCUCUACCUUUGGAGGAACACAGAGGAGGAUUGGGCUGCAUUUAGGAGAACAUCUUAUUACCAGUUGCUGGCGGCUGGAUGGCCAAGACAGACAGGACACCCUGGACCAAUGGGUGAGAUGGGGAGACCAGGUUUACCUGGGUUACCUGGAGACCCAGGUCAGACAGGACCACCAGGCCGAAGAGGCGAAAUGGGUGGCAUUGGACCCAAGGGUGUUCGAGGCAGAGCAGGGACUCAAGGAAGAGAUGGAGAGAAAGGUCCAGAUGGGGUGACAGGAUCUCCAGGUGUCCCUGGGCUACAGGGUCCUCAUGGUUACAAAGGUGACACAGCGCCCCCUGGUGAGAAAGGAGAUGAGGGUUUUCCUGGUGCUCCUGGGCCCAGAGGAGACGAAGGACAGACUGGCCAGAAGGUAAAGAAACCUGCAUCUGAAGUAUUUAUAAUUCAUUUAAUUUGUGUGUACUGUGUAUACUGUAUACAGUAA
ensembl:lncRNA